UGAACUUUCAAAAAAAAUUAUGCUGUUAUCCCUAAGGUAAUUAAUUUUAAUAAUUUAAAUUUUAAGAAUUAUAUAUUUCAUUUAUUUUUGUUUUAAUUUAAAAAAAUUUAUUUAAUUUUUUAAUUACCCCAAUUAAAUUUAUUUAAUAAUUUAAAUAAAUAAAAAUUUAUAUUUUAAAUUUAUUAAAUAAAUAAAAUUCUAUAGGGUCUUGUCGUCUUUUAAAUUUAUUUAAGUUUUUUUACUUAAAUAAAAAUUUAAAUUAAUUAUAAUUGAUAUAGUUUAUAUUUCAUUAAAUCUUUCAUUCAAGUUUUUAAUUAAAAAACAAAUUAUUAUGCUACCUUUGUACAAUUAAAAAUUUUGCAGCCAC
rnacentral:rRNA from 1 species